rnacentral:rRNA from 1 species
GGUUAAGCGACUAAGCGUACACGGUGGAUGCCCUGGCAGUCAGAGGCGAUGAAGGACGUGCUAAUCUGCGAUAAGCGUCGGUAAGGUGAUAUGAACCGUUAUAACCGGCGAUUUCCGAAUGGGGAAACCCAGUGUGAUUCGUCACACUAUCAUUAACUGAAUCCAUAGGUUAAUGAGGCGAACCGGGGGAACUGAAACAUCUAAGUACCCCGAGGAAAAGAAAUCAACCGAGAUUCCCCCAGUAGCGGCGAGCGAACGGGGAGCAGCCCAGAGCCUGAAUCAGUGUGUGUGUUAGUGGAAGCGUCUGGAAAGGCGCGCGAUACAGGGUGACAGCCCCGUACACAAAAAUGCACAUGCUGUGAGCUCGAUGAGUAGGGCGGGACACGUGGUAUCCUGUCUGAAUAUGGGGGGACCAUCCUCCAAGGCUAAAUACUCCUGACUGACCGAUAGUGAACCAGUACCGUGAGGGAAAGGCGAAAAGAACCCCGGCGAGGGGAGUGAAAAAGAACCUGAAACCGUGUACGUACAAGCAGUGGGAGCACAGAGCAAUCUGUGUGACUGCGUACCUUUUGUAUAAUGGGUCAGCGACUUAUAUUCUGUAGCAAGGUUAACCGAAUAGGGGAGCCGAAGGGAAACCGAGUCUUAACUGGGCGUUAAGUUGCAGGGUAUAGACCCGAAACCCGGUGAUCUAGCCAUGGGCAGGUUGAAGGUUGGGUAACACUAACUGGAGGACCGAACCGACUAAUGUUGAAAAAUUAGCGGAUGACUUGUGGCUGGGGGUGAAAGGCCAAUCAAACCGGGAGAUAGCUGGUUCUCCCCGAAAGCUAUUUAGGUAGCGCCUCGUGAAUUCAUCUCCGGGGGUAGAGCACUGUUUCGGCAAGGGGGUCAUCCCGACUUACCAACCCGAUGCAAACUGCGAAUACCGGAGAAUGUUAUCACGGGAGACACACGGCGGGUGCUAACGUCCGUCGUGAAGAGGGAAACAACCCAGACCGCCAGCUAAGGUCCCAAAGUCAUGGUUAAGUGGGAAACGAUGUGGGAAGGCCCAGACAGCCAGGAUGUUGGCUUAGAAGCAGCCAUCAUUUAAAGAAAGCGUAAUAGCUCACUGGUCGAGUCGGCCUGCGCGGAAGAUGUAACGGGGCUAAACCAUGCACCGAAGCUGCGGCAGCGACACUAUGUGUUGUUGGGUAGGGGAGCGUUCUGUAAGCCUGUGAAGGUGUGCUGUGAGGCAUGCUGGAGGUAUCAGAAGUGCGAAUGCUGACAUAAGUAACGAUAAAGCGGGUGAAAAGCCCGCUCGCCGGAAGACCAAGGGUUCCUGUCCAACGUUAAUCGGGGCAGGGUGAGUCGACCCCUAAGGCGAGGCCGAAAGGCGUAGUCGAUGGGAAACAGGUUAAUAUUCCUGUACUUGGUGUUACUGCGAAGGGGGGACGGAGAAGGCUAUGUUGGCCGGGCGACGGUUGUCCCGGUUUAAGCGUGUAGGCUGGUUUUCCAGGCAAAUCCGGAAAAUCAAGGCUGAGGCGUGAUGACGAGGCACUACGGUGCUGAAGCAACAAAUGCCCUGCUUCCAGGAAAAGCCUCUAAGCAUCAGGUAACAUCAAAUCGUACCCCAAACCGACACAGGUGGUCAGGUAGAGAAUACCAAGGCGCUUGAGAGAACUCGGGUGAAGGAACUAGGCAAAAUGGUGCCGUAACUUCGGGAGAAGGCACGCUGAUAUGUAGGUGAAGUCCCUCGCGGAUGGAGCUGAAAUCAGUCGAAGAUACCAGCUGGCUGCAACUGUUUAUUAAAAACACAGCACUGUGCAAACACGAAAGUGGACGUAUACGGUGUGACGCCUGCCCGGUGCCGGAAGGUUAAUUGAUGGGGUUAGCGCAAGCGAAGCUCUUGAUCGAAGCCCCGGUAAACGGCGGCCGUAACUAUAACGGUCCUAAGGUAGCGAAAUUCCUUGUCGGGUAAGUUCCGACCUGCACGAAUGGCGUAAUGAUGGCCAGGCUGUCUCCACCCGAGACUCAGUGAAAUUGAACUCGCUGUGAAGAUGCAGUGUACCCGCGGCAAGACGGAAAGACCCCGUGAACCUUUACUAUAGCUUGACACUGAACAUUGAGCCUUGAUGUGUAGGAUAGGUGGGAGGCUUUGAAGUGUGGACGCCAGUCUGCAUGGAGCCGACCUUGAAAUACCACCCUUUAAUGUUUGAUGUUCUAACGUGGACCCGUAAUCCGGGUUGCGGACAGUGUCUGGUGGGUAGUUUGACUGGGGCGGUCUCCUCCUAAAGAGUAACGGAGGAGCACGAAGGUUGGCUAAUCCUGGUCGGACAUCAGGAGGUUAGUGCAAUGGCAUAAGCCAGCUUGACUGCGAGCGUGACGGCGCGAGCAGGUGCGAAAGCAGGUCAUAGUGAUCCGGUGGUUCUGAAUGGAAGGGCCAUCGCUCAACGGAUAAAAGGUACUCCGGGGAUAACAGGCUGAUACCGCCCAAGAGUUCAUAUCGACGGCGGUGUUUGGCACCUCGAUGUCGGCUCAUCACAUCCUGGGGCUGAAGUAGGUCCCAAGGGUAUGGCUGUUCGCCAUUUAAAGUGGUACGCGAGCUGGGUUUAGAACGUCGUGAGACAGUUCGGUCCCUAUCUGCCGUGGGCGCUGGAGAAUUGAGGGGGGCUGCUCCUAGUACGAGAGGACCGGAGUGGACGCAUCACUGGUGUUCGGGUUGUCAUGCCAAUGGCACUGCCCGGUAGCUAAAUGCGGAAGAGAUAAGUGCUGAAAGCAUCUAAGCACGAAACUUGCCCCGAGAUGAGUUCUCCCUGACUCCUUGAGAGUCCUGAAGGAACGUUGAAGACGACGACGUUGAUAGGCCGGGUGUGUAAGCGCAGCGAUGCGUUGAGCUAACCGGUACUAAUGAACCGUGAGGCUUAACCUU